rnacentral:sRNA from 1 species
AAACCGAAAAAUUUUAAACCAAACAAAAUACAUGAAAAU